AUACGUAGGUGACAAGCGUUAUCCGGAUUUACUGGGCGUAAAGGGCGUGUAGGCGGUCUUGCAAGUCAGAAGUGAAAUUCCUGAGCUCAACUCGGGCGCUGCUUCUGAAACUGCAGGACUUGAGUGCUGGAGGGGAUAGCGGAAUUCCUAGUGGAGCGGUAAAAUGCGCAGAUAUUAGGAAGAACACCGGUGGCGAAGGCGGCUAUCUGGACAGUAACGUACGCAGAGGCGCGAAAGCGUGGGGAGCAAACAGGAUUAGAUACCCUGGUAGUCCACGCCAUAAACGAUGAAUACUAGGUGUAGGGGGUAUCGACCCCCUCUGUGCCGACGUUAACACAUUAAGUAUUCCACCUGGGGAGUACGGCCGCAAGGCUGAAACUCAAAGGAAUUGACGGGG
rnacentral:rRNA from 1 species